GAUAGCCAAAAAUGAUUCUGGGGUCGAGGGUGGGAUUGGUUACGACACGGACAUCGCCGCCGCCUGGAGCCCAAGUAUCGUACAAGCCACCCAAAUACAUAGCUCUAGCGACUAACAAGAGCGCUCCCAAGCCCAGAGCAAUCAGAUGAUAUCCCAAGAUGCUCGUGACCUUAUCUUUAUCAGUCCA
rnacentral:antisense_RNA from 1 species